rnacentral:rRNA from 1 species
AACGAACGCUGGCGGCGUGGAUUAGGCAUGCAAGUCGUACGCGAAAGAGGGAGCAAUCCCUUGAGUAGAGUGGCGAACGGGUGAGUAACGCGUGAGAAACCUGCCUUUGACAGGGGGAUAACACUCCCAACGGGGUGCUAAUACCGCAUGAGACCACGGGAUCGCAUGAUCCUGAGGUCAAAGAUGGCCUCUAUUUAUAAGCUAUCGGUCGAAGAUGGUCUCGCGUCCCAUUAGCUUGUUGGCGGUGUAAAGACCACCAAGGCGACGAUGGGUAGCUGGUCUGAGAGGAUGGUCAGCCACACUGGGACUGAGAUACGGCCCAGACUCCUACGGGAGGCAGCAGUCGAGAGGCUUCGGCAAUGGGGGAAACCCUGACCGAGCGACGCCGCGUGGAGGAUGAAGGCCCUUGGGUUGUAAACUCCUUUAUUCGGGAAGAAGUGCGAUCAGGUGAAUAAUCUGGUCGUUUGACGGUACCGGAUGAAUAAGCUCCGGCUAACUCCG